GAUGAACGCUGGCGGCGUGCCUAAUACAUGCAAGUCGAGCGAACAGACGAGGAGCUUGCUCCCCUGACGUUAGCGGCGGACGGGAGAGUAACACGUGGAUAACCUACCUAUAAGACUGGGAUAACUUCGGGAAACCGGAGCUAAGACCGGAUAAUAUAUUGAACCGCAUGGUUCAAUAGUGAAAGACGGUUUUGCUGUCACUUAUAGAUUGAUCCGCGCCGCAUUAACUAGUUGGUAAGGUAACGGCUUACCAAGGCAACGAUGCGUAGCCGACCUGAGGGGGUGGUCGGCCACACUGGAACUGAGACACGGUCCAGACUCCUACGGGAGGCAGCAGUCGGGAAUCUUCCGCAAUGGACGAAAGCCUGACGGAGCAACGUCGCGUGAGUGAUGAAGGUCUUCGGAUCGUAAAACUAUGUUAUUAGGGAAGAACAAAUGUGUAAGUAACUAUGCACGUAUUGACGGUACCUAAUCAGAAAGCCACGGCUAACUACGUG
rnacentral:rRNA from 1 species